AGCUUAUCCAGAGUGGGGGAGGGACUGGCCCUAUGAACCCCGGCAACCUGCCAUGAGGCAAGGUGCUAAUUCCUGCAGGUAACCGAUGAAGGAGCCUGAGAGAUGAGUG
rnacentral:ncRNA from 2 species